UGGGUUUCUCACAACCAAAUUGCCAAAAAUGAGCAUGGAUGGUUCCAUUUAAUGCUCUUCUCAAGUAAAAUGAAGGAUCAGUACACUACUUGCAUUACAUUUGGGGUGUUUUGUUCAAUUUUA